rnacentral:tRNA from 26 species
GGGCGUUUAGCUCAGUUGGUAGAGCGUCUCCCUUACAAGGAGAGGGUCAGAAGUUCGAGUCUUCUAACGCCCACCA